AGAGUUUGAUCAUGGCUCAGAUUGAACGCUGGCGGCAGGCCUAACACAUGCAAGUCGAGCGGUAGCACAGAGAGCUUGCUCUCGGGUGACGAGCGGCGGACGGGUGAGUAAUGUCUGGGAAACUGCCUGAUGGAGGGGAUAACUACUGGAAACGGUAGCUAAUACCGCAUAACGUCGCAAGACCAAAGUGGGGACCUUCGGGCCUCAUGCCAUCAGAUGUGCCCAGAUGGGAUUAGCUAGUAGGUGGGGUAAUGGCUCACCUAGGCGACGAUCCCUAGCUGGUCUGAGAGGAUGACCAGCCACACUGGAACUGAGACACGGUCCAGACUCCUACGGGAGGCAGCAGUGGGAAUAUUGCACAAUGGGCGCAAGCCUGAUGCAGCCAUGCCGCGUGUAUGAAGAAGGCCUUCGGGUUGUAAAGUACUUUCAGCGAGGAGGAAGGCAUUAAGGUUAAUAACCUUAGUGAUUGACGUUACUCGCAGAAGAAGCACCGGCUAACUCCGUGCCAGCAGCCGCGUAAUACGGAGGGUGCAAGCGUUAAUCGGAAUUACUGGGCGUAAAGCGCACGCAGGCGGUCUGUUAAGUCAGAUGUGAAAUCCCCGGGCUCAACCUGGGAACUGCAUUUGAAACUGGCAGGCUUGAGUCUUGUAGAGGGGGGUAGAAUUCCAGGUGUAGCGGUGGAAAUGCGUAGAGAUCUGGAGGAAUACCGGUGGCGAAGGCGGCCCCCUGGACAAAGACUGACGCUCAGGUGCGAAAGCGUGGGGAGCAAACAGGAUUAGAUACCCUGGUAGUCCACGCUGUAAACGAUGUCGACUUGGAGGUUGUUCCCUUGAGGAGUGGCUUCCGGAAGCUAACGCGUUAAGUCGACCGCCUGGGGAGUACGGCCGCAAGGUUAAAACUCAAAUGAAUUGACGGGGGCCCGCACAAGCGGUGGAGCAUGUGGUUUAAUUCGAUGCAACGCGAAGAACCUUACCUACUCUUGACAUCCAGAGAACUUAGCAGAGAUGCUUUGGUGCCUUCGGGAACUCUGAGACAGGUGCUGCAUGGCUGUCGUCAGCUCGUGUUGUGAAAUGUUGGGUUAAGUCCCGCAACGAGCGCAACCCUUAUCCUUUGUUGCCAGCGAUUCGGUCGGGAACUCAAAGGAGACUGCCAGUGAUAAACUGGAGGAAGGUGGGGAUGACGUCAAGUCAUCAUGGCCCUUACGAGUAGGGCUACACACGUGCUACAAUGGCAUAUACAAAGAGAAGCGACCUCGCGAGAGCAAGCGGACCUCAUAAAGUAUGUCGUAGUCCGGAUUGGAGUCUGCAACUCGACUCCAUGAAGUCGGAAUCGCUAGUAAUCGUAGAUCAGAAUGCUACGGUGAAUACGUUCCCGGGCCUUGUACACACCGCCCGUCACACCAUGGGAGUGGGUUGCAAAAGAAGUAGGUAGCUUAACCUUCGGGAGGGCGCUUACCACUUUGUGAUUCAUGACUGGGGUGAAGUCGUAACAAGGUAACCGUAGGGGAACCUGCGGUUGGAUCACCU
rnacentral:rRNA from 1 species